rnacentral:tRNA from 1 species
AUAGUGGUAGUUAAAAAAUAAUUUUGGAUUUGCGUUCCUAGGUUGGGCAAAAUGCCCUCAUUAUUC